rnacentral:rRNA from 1 species
AUUGAACGCUGGCGGCAGUCCUAACACAUGCAAGUCGAACGAGUGGCGGACGGGUGAGUAAUGUCUGGGAAACUGCCCGAUGGAGGGGGAUAACUACUGGAAACGGUAGCUAAUACCGCAUACCAUCGGAUGUGCCCAGAUGGGAUUAGCUAGUAGGUGGGGUAACGGCUCACCUAGGCGACGAUCCCUAGCUGGUCUGAGAGGAUGAAAAGCAAAACUGGAACUGAGACACGGUCCAGAGUCCUACGGUAGGCAGCAGGGGGGAGUAUUGCACAAUGGGGUCAAGCCUGAUGCAGCCAGGCAGCGUGUAUGAAGAAGGCCGUCGGGUUGUAAAGUACUUUAAGCGAGGAGGCGUUACGCGCAGAAGAAGCACCGGCUAACUCCGUGCAAGCAGCCGCGGUAAUUC